ensembl:lncRNA
GUUGCCACGGUGAUGCUAUGAAGUCAAACUGGUCUAAGGUGUUUUGUAUGAAACAGCUGACAAGGAAAUACGAGUUAGAUUGUUCACUGGGGCUGUUUAGUGCAGCCAGAGACCAAAUCACUAUCGUCAAAGUUUGUUUCCUUUCUUUUUUCUAUUUGCUCUCAGUGGAUAAUUUUUCCAUCCUGAUGAUCAGAAGAGUGUUUGAGGGUUUCAGAGAUCCUUCAGAACAACAUGAUGGGUCUGAUCCUAUGACAACUGGGAUAGGCUCCGCCUGCGACCCUGAUAAGGACAGGCUGAAGAGAAUGGAUGGAUGGAAGUGACAGGUAAUUUCAAAGUAAAUGUUUCAAACAUCUCAACAAAUAUCAGAAAACACUGUUUCUCAUCCAUCAGGGAUGGACUGUUUCUCAUGGAGAGAAACUCAGUGAGAACAGAUGUAAUAAAGAGAACAGGACAGAUUAAAGAUUAUUCUUCUCAAAACUAAGGACUGCUUAGGCAUUGCUGUUUAAUAAACUAGUGCUAUGUUACUUUUCAUUACUUUUUCAAUAUAUUCAAAUUUUAAAAAAAUGGACCAAGCUAUCAGAUAACCAAACUCUCAGUGAAAGCUAGCCUAGUCUUAGCUCAGCUUUCAUAUCUGAGUGUUUGGAUUUUAUCGAAUUUUAUCUGCAGUUCACUGAGAUAUCAAAGUUUCUCUGUGACUUUCAGAAGUUAAUCCCCAGUUCCCCAUCAUCAGAUCAGUAAAUAAAAACCCAAUAAUACGAAUCUCUGGAACCCAAAUCAACCUGACACGACUGCGUCAAAUAGCAGUUUUUCUGCAGUUUUCUCCUGAACGGCAGGCGUCACCACUUAGAUAAAAACUCUGCAUCAGCUCUUUUAUUCCAGUAGAAAAAGUCAAGGCAGGAAGUAGAACUCAGUUUUUUGGUUUUGCCUUUUGUUUCUUUUAAUUUAUUUCUCAUCUCAAGCUGUUGCAGCCUCUCCAUGAUUAUAAUAUAUUACAAAAUAUAAAUAUAAUUGAAAACUAUCCCAAAAAAAUGAAAAUGAAAUGUUCGUACACUCUGUCUCCAAGCAACGGAUGUGACGUCCGCUAAUGUUUAGGUAGAAGUGUUAGCUAGCUAGGCUGCGGAAAUGUCUCGCCGAACAUCUUUUUUGUUUUUCUCCACUUUGCUGUUUGUUGAUCUCUUCGUGUUUGUCUCUGCAGAGAACAAAACCAUGACAGCUGAACCUGGACAGGACAUCACUUUGACAUGUCGAGCUCCAAACAACAACAACAUUGUUGUUCUAGAGUGGAGCAGAGCUGACCUGGGAGAGAAAUAUGUGCUUCUGUUCCGGGAUGAGCUGUUUGAUUUAGAACAACAGCAUCCAUCUUUUAAGAACCGGGUGGAGCUGCAGGACAGACAGAUGAAGGAUGGAGACGUGUCUUUGAUUCUGAAGGAUGUGACGACUAAUGACACUGGAACAUACGAGUGUCGUGUUGUCCAGAGAGGAACUAAACGCAGGAAGAGAGCUGUUUUGAAAAAUGACCCCAUCAGCAUCGUCACCUUGAAAGUUGAUCCUCUAGGUCAGACAGGAGGAGACACAGAGGAUGGAGGGAAGAAUGGAUCUGCUGGACUGAUUGUCGGUCUGAGUGUUCCUGCUGUGCUUCUUGUUGCUGUUGUUGGUUUUUUGAUCUACAGAAAACAUAAACAACCACAGAGGCAGGAUUCAUACCAGCCUCCUGUUGAACUGCAGCCUGUUUGAAAUGUCAGCUUAACUGUGAUUCUUGUGCUUUGUUUUCAGUCGUGUCACUGAAAAUGUGGAAAGACAGAAGUCAGUAAUAUUAAACAUUUAGCAGGUAUCUGUCAGACAGGUCCAGAUUUUGCAUUUAAUUUACAUUUUUCAUCAGAAAAGAGGAGAAAGUUGUUUGGAAUAUAAACAGUAUUUGUCUGAUAUGACUCAGGAUCCUUUGAUCACAUGUUGCUGGUGUUUGACUCGUUUUAAAUGUAAUUAUAUUCAAAUGAAACCAAAGAAAAAAACAUUUCUAUGUAGCUGCAGAGUCCAACAUUUCCUCCCUUUGACCUGAAACGAUUCAGCUUUAUUGAACUUUACCUUCCAUGAAGGAGACUCUUCAGUCUGUUACUGUCCAGUUGUUACUUUCCUUUAAAUAUUUUCCUGACAAAGAUCCACAUGUGUUAGUACUUAAUGUGUAUGUUUUUUUUAUACCAACAUUUCCUGUGGCUGUACUUUUUUUGUUCUGUUUUCAAUCAGAAGCUCUGACUUCCUGAAACUGUUGAUGCAGAUUUUGUCACCUUGAAUUGAUCCAAAAUAAAUACAACCAUGUGUGAACUGUUUCUGCUUCUCAUAAUUACAGACCUGCCUCUCAGAGGUAGAUUCUGAUAAUAUAUCAGAAUCGUUGGACAAUUGGUCAAAUACAUUAUUCUGUAUUCUUCCUCCCUAUUACAUUGAUAAAACUGCCUUUUUUUGAUCAACUACCUGUACAGUGCAGGCUAACCUGGAGGUUAGCAGCUCACAAUAUGACCUCAAAUUUCAACUAGUUCUAAAAAGGAGUCCGGCUACCUUCACCAGAACACAACAUAGACACGGUAGUCCUGAUGCUCAAUCAAGGGUGAUUCUGUUCAUCUGGACAUUUUCAGUAGGAGAAACGUUUCGUCACUCAUCCAAGUGACUUCUUCAGUCUCAGCUGAGUCAGAAAUCAGGAAGAGGGUUUAUUGCCAAAUCUUACAUAUUGUAGGAUUAAAGAAAUUAUUUUACGGUUACUGUUCAUAACCAUCAUCUUUAUCAUUGCAUUAAUUAUCAUUUCAUCAAAGCAUUUAUUGAAGCUGUUGGCAUUAUGUUAUAAUUUGUAUUACAGGGGUUAUCAUAAUCACAUAUUAACAUGUUUAUUACAGGUGCAGUUAGAACCACUUAAAUCGUUGAGUUAAAUCUAUAAUCUUAAAAGCUUAUAUGCUGAGUAUAUUGUUACAGUAAAAAUAGUAGCUGAGCAAAGGCCUGAGUGUAUUCAGCAACAUGUUGCACUAGAGUUUACUUGACAACAGGUGACAGAAGGAGGACAAGUCCAUGGGGACCUCAAAGGCCUGAGAUCAUCACCAUAUUCGGAAGAGGAUGCCAGAAAGGGGAACUUCUGUGUCUGCAUUUAUCUCUUAGAAUUGAUCAUUGUCUGUAAAAGAGGCAAAUAAUGUUCUUAAGAUGCAAAUUAUGUGCUUGUAAACGCAAGAGGGGGCGUUAUAAUACCCUGAUGUUAUAAAAGCAAUCUGGAGUGUAUUUUUGGGUGGAGAUUUACAACUAAUGUUCUGCAGUUUACACCUCCCCACACUGCGUGUAUUCAUUAAAAUCAAUUGUUUGACC